AACCCUGAUCCAGCCAUGCCGCGUGCGGGAAGUAAGGCCUUCGGGUGUAAACCGCUUUUAGUCGGAAGAAAAGGCGGAGGCGAAUACCCUCCGUUCUUGACGGUACCGGCGGAAUAAGCACCGGCUAACUACGUGCCAGCAGCCGCGGUAAUACGUAGGGUGCGAGCGUUAAUCGGAAUUACUGGGCGUAAAGCGUGCGCAGGCGGUUCGUUGUGUCUGAUGUGAAAGCCCCGGGCUCAACCUGGGAACUGCAUUGGAAACUGGCGGACUUGAGUGUGGCAGAGGGGGGUGGAAUUCCGCGUGUAGCAGUGAAAUGCGUAGAGAUGCGGAGGAACACCGAUGGCGAAGGCAGCCCCCUGGGCCAACACUGACGCUCAGGCACGAAAGCGUGGGGAGCAAACAGGGAUUAGAUACCCUGGUAGUCCACGCCCUAAACGAUGUCGACUGGGUGUCGGGAGAGAGAUCUCUUGGUACCGUAGCUAACGCGUGAAGUCGACCGCCUGGGGAGUACGGCCGCAAGGUUA
rnacentral:rRNA from 1 species